GUGAGGAAUAUUGGUCAAUGGACGAGAGUCUGAACCAGCCAAGUCGCGUGAAGGAAGACGGUUCUAUGAAUUGUAAACUUCUUUUGUGCAGGAAUAAAGUGGGUUACGUGUAACCUUUUGUAUGUACUGUACGAAUAAGGAUCGGCUAACUCCGUGCCAGCAGCCGCGGUAAUACGGAGGAUCCGAGCGUUAUCCGGAUUUAUUGGGUUUAAAGGGUGCGUAGGUGGAUUGAUAAGUCAGCGGUGAAAGUUUGCAGCUUAACUGUAAAAUUGCCGUUGAAACUGUCGGUCUUGAGUGCAAAUGAGGUAGGCGGAAUGUGUUGUGUAGCGGUGAAAUGCUUAGAUAUAACACAGAACUCCGAUUGCGAAGGCAGCUUACUGGAGCGCAACUGACGCUGAGGCACGAAAGCGUGGGGAUCGAACAGGAUUAGAAACCCUGGUAGUCC
rnacentral:rRNA from 1 species